CUUCCGGAACGUGAAGAAAUGUCCGGCGGCAGCGAUCGUCGCUAGGAGCUUUUCGCGUUCAAGAUCACACACGGCGUCGUACCGUCGAUCUGGUCACACUGCCAGGAUGGCGGCAUCAAUCUACGCUAGUCUUCUCAUUGUCCUCUCGUUGGUCCGUUAUGCUUUGUGUUCCAUUUUAUCACCGCGCGGGUGUUCACGUUUUCGCAUCACAACUAGGGACGUAGUAUCGAAAGAAAAGUGUCGAUACUUAUACUUGGUAUCGAAUCGAAUGAAAAUAUCCAAACGAAAGGACCGAUCUGACGGCCCUUCUAUAGGUCAGUGACUAAGUAUACCUUUUGGCCAGUAGAAGAGGAACAAGGCCGAAAUGUCACUCAUGGUAUGCCAGAACUUGCGUCCUAUUCCCUCUACAGCCGAUUUUCAAAUUUUUUUUCUUCAACUACUAAAAUGUCAAAUCUUAAGCAUAAUGACAACUUGAGAAAAUAAAUGCUCCUGUGCAGAGUGUCCUUGAUACAGUGAUAAAGCAUUUGGCAAGUAGUGGUGUAACUAGAGUGAUCCAGCAGUAGCUAUUAUAUUGAAUUAAAAUAUUAUUUGAUUAUUAAAUAAGAUUAAUAAUACAAA